rnacentral:misc_RNA from 1 species
AAGUCGUAACAAGGUUUCCGUAGGUGAACCUGCGGAAGGAUCAUUAACACGUAUCCAAACGUUAAACAACCCCGUGAACAUACAACCUGCUCUGGUCGCCCGCUCGCAUGGACAAGCCCAGUAAAUCAAGCCCCGGAAAGUUUUUGAUUUGGGACCUCUGUGCGCGUGAGAAAAACUGACAGCCCGAACAACUGUUAACAAUGGAUAUCUUGGUUCUC